rnacentral:tRNA from 1 species
GGUGGGGUGCUGGAGCGGUUUAACAGGAUAGUCUUGAAAACUAUUGUGGCUGAAAGGUCACCGUGAGUUCGAAUCUCACCCCCACCG